rnacentral:rRNA from 1 species
GACGAACGCUGGCGGCGUGCUUAACACAUGCAAGUCGAACGGAAAGGCCCUGCUUUUGUGGGGUGCUCGAGUGGCGAACGGGUGAGUAACACGUGAGUAACCUGCCCUUGACUUUGGGAUAACUUCAGGAAACUGGGGCUAAUACCGGAUAGGAGCUCCUGCUGCAUGGUGGGGGUUGGAAAGUUUCGGCGGUUGGGGAUGGACUCGCGGCUUAUCAGCUUGUUGGUGGGGUAGUGGCUUACCAAGGCUUUGACGGGUAGCCGGCCUGAGAGGGUGACCGGCCACAUUGGGACUGAGAUACGGCCCAGACUCCUACGGGAGGCAGCAGUGGGGAAUAUUGCACAAUGGGCGGAAGCCUGAUGCAGCGACGCCGCGUGCGGGAUGACGGCCUUCGGGUUGUAAACCGCUUUCGGCUGGGACGAAGCGUAAGUGACGGUACCUGGAGAAGAAGCACCGGCUAACUACGUG